rnacentral:rRNA from 1 species
UACGUAGGUGGCAAGCGUUGUCCGGAAUUAUUGGGCGUAAAGCGCGCGCAGGCGGCCUCUUAAGUCUGAUGUGAAAGCCCCCGGCUCAACCGGGGAGGGCCAUUGGAAACUGGGGAGCUUGAGUAUAGGAGAGAAGAGUGGAAUUCCACGUGUAGCGGUGAAAUGCGUAGAGAUGUGGAGGAACACCAGUGGCGAAGGCGACUCUUUGGCCUAUAACUGACGCUGAGGCGCGAAAGCGUGGGGAGCAAACAGG